GGUUCCUUAGCUCAGUUGGUUAGAGCGCUCGCCUGUCACGCGAGAGGUCACGGGUUCAAGUCCCGUAGGAACCGCCA
rnacentral:tRNA from 1 species